rnacentral:rRNA from 1 species
GUGCCAGCCGCCGCGGUAAGACAGAGGGUGCAAACGUUGCUCGGAAUUACUGGGCGUAAAGCGCGUGUAGGCGGGCUGAUAAGUCGGACGUGAGAUCCCUGAGCUCAACUCAGGGACUGCAUUCGAAACUGUCAGUCUGGAGUAGUGGAGAGGAAAGCAGAAUUCCUGGUGUAGAGGUGAAAUUCGUAGAUAUCAGGAGGAACACCGGUGGCGAAGGCGGCUUUCUGGACACUUACUGACGCUGAGACGCGAAAGCGUGGGGAGCAAACAGGAUUAGAUACCCCAGUAGUCC